rnacentral:rRNA from 1 species
UACGUAGGGUGCAAGCGUUAAUCGGAAUUACUGGGCGUAAAGCGUGCGCAGGCGGUUCGUUGUGUCUGUGGUGAAAGCCCCCGGGCUUAACCUGGGAAUGGCCAUGGAAACUGGCGAGCUGGAGUGUGGCAGAGGGGGGUGGAAUUCCGCGUGUAGCAGUGAAAUGCGUAGAGAUGGAGAGGACGGAAGCACCGGAUGGCCCGGAAGG